ensembl:lncRNA
UUUUUUAAAGAUUAUUAUUUAUUAAAGCAUUGAAUAAUUAAAAAGUAUCAUGGAUCUCUUCUGUUCAGAAAACCACAGAUACAGCUAACUUCCCAGAAGUGAGUACUCAAGCUUAGAGGUACAGCUGCUACUCUGUUACACGUGUACUAGAUGUUUUUCUCUAUUCUUUCAUCCUUCACCCAAUAACUUGUUGUUUUAGUGACCAUGAGAGCAACCGUGGCUGAGAUACCUGACGAUGUUUAUGUCUCACAUGGUACCGAUGACCCACCUUAUCAUAGUACUUAGUGUCCCUUUACUUUGAAACUUCUACACUGUCACCAUUUCUAACAAAACACUGUGUAGACAUCUAAAUUCUUAAGCUCUUAUUUGCUAUAAUACUUAACACAUGAAAAAAUCCGAUUUGAGUUGACCUCGUUGUUCUCUUUCCCCCUCACCCCUUUAGUAAAAGCUAUUUCCUUACAAUUGACACAUACUUAGCAUAAUUCACUCGAUUUAGCAUUAUUUCAACAGGAUUUCUUAUUUUAAACAAAAAUACAUUGUUUUCCUCCAUCAUUCUAUUCUUUACACUCACAUACAGCGUUUAAGGUGACAUCUGCACAGAAAGAGUGCAGAUGUGACAUUGUGCAGUACACACUAGAGAUGGACCGAUCCGAUAUUACGUAUCGGUAUCGGUCCGAUACUGACCUAAAUUACUGGAUCGGAUAUCGGAGAAAAAUAAAAAAUGUAAUCCGAUCCAUUAAAUAUCACGAAAGCACCUCACAAAACUUGCAACACGCCGUAACUCACCUCAGAACGUUAGCAGUCGGAGCAGUAUGCAUCACGUGAUAGAGCAGCUGUGGCAUGCAGGACCUGUCGGUGGUCUGGAUAGCAUGUGGAGCUUCGCUAGCAACCUGGCAUUUCAUCUCCGACAAAGUUAUCCCCGAGAGAAGUAAAGCAAGUGUGUAAGUCCAUCUCUGAAUGUAAAGCAUUCCCACGUUAAGCUUAACAAGCGACUGCCUCUCGCUCUCCGGCUGCUACUUCAAUCGUGAAACUGCUUAAAUGAUCAGCUGAUCGGCUUUUCUGUCGCGAGUCCGUGUCUCUAGUUUGCUUUUGGCCCACGUUGCACCAGAAAG